rnacentral:rRNA from 1 species
GACGAACGCUGGCGGCGUGCUUAACACAUGCAAGUCGAACGGAUAGGCCCUGCUUUUGUCGGGUGCUCGCGUCGCGAACGUGAGAGUAACACGGGAGUAACCUUCCCAUUACUUUGUGACAACCUCAGGAAACUGGUGCUAAUACCGGAUACGAGCUCCUGCUGCUUGGUGGGGGUUGGAACGUAUAGGUGGGUGUGGGUGGACUCGCGGGUUAUUAGCUUGUUGGGGGGGUACUGGCUUACCGAGGGUUUGACGGGUAGCCGGCCUGGGUGGGUGACCGGGCACAUUGGUACUGCGAGAGGGACCAGUCGGCAACGUGAGGCAGCAGGGGGGAACAUUGCCCAGUGGGCGGAAGCGUGUGGAAGCGGCGCCCCGUGCGGAAUGACGGCCUUCGGGUUGUAAACCGCUUUCGCUUGUGACGAAGCGGGUGUGACGGUAAUAGGUAAAGAAGCACCGGCUAACUACGUG